rnacentral:rRNA from 1 species
UAUGGNUCAACCAUAGUGUGCUCUGGAAACUNUCUGACAUGAGUGCAGAAGGGGAGAGUGGAAUUCCAUGUGUAGCGGUGAAAUGCGUGGAUAUAUGGAGGAACACCAGUGGCGAAAGCGGCUCUCUGGUCUGUCACUGACGCUGAGGCUCGAAAGCGUGGGUAGCGAACAGGAUUAGAUACCCUGGUAGUNCACGCCGUAAACGAUGAGUGCUAGGUGUUAGGCCCUUUCCGGGGCUUAGUGCCGGAGCUAACGCAAUAAGCACUCCGCCUGGGGAGUACGACCGCGAGGUUGAAACUCAAAGGAAUUGACGGGGGCCCGCACAAGCGGUGGAGCAUGUGGUUUAAUUCGAAGCAACGCGAAGAACCUUACCAGGUCUUGACAUCCCGAUGCUAUUCUUAGAGAUAGGAAGUUACUUCGGUACAUCGGAGACAGGUGGUGCAUGGUUGUCGUCAGCUCGUGUCGUGAGAUGUUGGGUUAAGUCCCGCAACGAGCGCAACCCUUAUUGUUAGUUGCCAUCAUUAAGUUGGGCACUCUAGCGAGACUGCCGGUAAUAAACCGGAGGAAGGUGGGGAUGACGUCAAAUCAUCAUGCCCCUUAUGACCUGGGCUACACACGUGCUACAAUGGUCGGUACGACGAGUUGCGAGCCGGUGACGGCAAGCUAAUCUCUGAAAGCCGAUCUCAGUUCGGAUUGGAGGCUGCAACUCGCCUCCAUGAAGUCGGAAUCGCUAGUAAUCGCGGAUCAGCACGCCGCGGUGAAUACGUUCCCGGGCCUUGUACACAC